UUCUACAUGGUGCUAUAUAUACUAAUGUUUAGUUUUUGUUAUCCUACAAUAUUCAUAUGUACUAAUGUUUAGUUUUUGUUCUUCAUUUGUAGCUUGGAAGAAAUAAUUUUUCACUGCAGAUAGAAUGCUAAUGGAUGAAAAGAACAUAGAACCAAUGAUAAUUUUUAAGAGGCUUCAUUUCAUGUAAGAUGACAAAAUAUAUUCCUUUCUCAAAUUGUAUCUAAUAAAGAGUCAACUAAUAUUAUGGAGCAAGAAAGUUGUGGAAGAUUUAGAGGAUUGAGAUAUAUGAUGUUUGAAGAAUUUUCCAAUAGUUAGAUAAUAAAUUUAUAGCAUCAAUAUGUUUGGUGCAAGUGAUUCAUUUUUUUUUAUAAUUUUCAUCUAUGUUUUGAAGGAAUUCACUUUCAAUUCUAAA